rnacentral:rRNA from 1 species
UGCAGCGAGCGGUAUUGUUCUUCGGAAUGAGAVACCSGCGUACGGGUGCGUAACACGUGUGCAACCUGCCUUUAUCUGGGGGAUAGCCUUUCGAAAGGAAGAUUAAUACUCCAUAACAUAUUGGVCGGCAUCGUUUAAUAUUGAVAGCUCCGGCGGAUAGAGAUGGGCACGCGCAAGAUUAGCUAGUUGGUGAGGUAACGGCUCACCAAGGCGAUGAUCUUUAGGGGGCCUGAGAGGGUGAUCCCCCACACUGGUACUGAGACACGGACCAGACUCCUACGGGAGGCAGCAGUUAGGAAUAUUGGUCAAUGGGUGCAAGCCUKAACCAGCCAUCCCGCGUKAAGGACGACUGKCCCUAUGGGUUGUAAACUUCUUUUGUAUAGGGAUAAACCUACCCUCGRGAGGGUAGCUGAAGGUACUAUACGGAAUAAGCACCGGCUAACUCCGUGCCAACAGCCGCGGUAAUACGGGGGGGUGCAAGCGUUAUCCGGAUUUAUUGGGUUUAAAGGGUCCCUAGGCGGACUUAUAAGKCAGUKGUGAAAGCCUBUCGCUUAACGGUAGAACUSCCAUUGAUACUGUAAG